UACAGAGGGUGCGAGCGUUAAUCGGAAUUACUGGGCGUAAAGCGCGGGCAGGUGGCCCUUUAAGUCCUUUGUGAAAUUCCGGAGCUCAACUCCGGAUGUGCAUAGGAUACUGGAAGGCUAGAGACUGGUAGAGGCGAGCGGAAUUCCUGGUGUAGCGGUGGAAUGCGUAGAUAUCAGGAAGAACACCGGUGGCGAAGGCGCUCUGCUAGGCCGCAACUGACACUGAGGGACGAAAGCUAGGGGAGCGAAUGGG
rnacentral:rRNA from 1 species